CCUACGGGAGGCAGCAGUGAGGAAUAUUGGUCAAUGGACGAGAGUCUGAACCAGCCAAGUAGCGUGAAGGAUGACUGCCCUAUGGGUUGUAAACUUCUUUUAUAUGGGAAUAAAAUGUUCCACGUGUGGGAUUUUGUAUGUACCAUAUGAAUAAGGAUCGGCUAAUUCCGUGCCAGCAGCCGCGGUAAUACGGAGGAUCCGAGCGUUAUCCGGAUUUAUUGGGUUUAAAGGGAGCGUAGGUGGAUUAUUAAGUCAGUUGUGAAAGUUUGCGGCUCAACCGUAAAACUGCAGUUGAAACUGGCAGUCUUGAGUACAGUAGAGGUAGGCGGAAUUCGUGGUGUAGCGGUGAAAUGCUUAGAUAUCACGAAGAACUCCGAUUGCGAAGGCAGUUCACUGGACUGCAACUGACACUGAGGCUCGAAAGUGUGGGUAUCAAACAGGAUUAGAUACCCCAGUAGUC
rnacentral:rRNA from 1 species